rnacentral:rRNA from 1 species
CAAGAGCGUAUGUAAAAGUUGUUGCAGUUAAAAAGCUCGUAGUUGAACCUUGGGUUUGGUUGGCCGGUCCGCCUUUUUGCGAGUACUGGAUUCAACCGAGCCUUUCCUUCUGGCUAACCAGUCGUUUCGGCGGCUGGCGAACCAGGAUUUUUACUUUGAGAAAAUUAGAGUGUUCAAAGCAGGCAUUAGCUUGAAUAUAUUAGCAUGGAAUAAUAGAAUAGGACGUUAUGGUUCUAUUUUGUUGGUUUCUAGGACCAUCGUAAUGAUUAAUAGGGACGGUCGGGGGCAUCAGUAUUCAGUUGUCAGAGGUGAAAUUCUUGGAUUUACUGAAGACUAACUACUGCGAAAGCAUUUGCCAAGGACGUUUUCAUUAA